rnacentral:hammerhead_ribozyme from 1 species
AUCCAGUUGAGCAGUCUCAAAUAGGACGAAACACGUGUCAAACCGGAU